UGGGGAAUAUUGCACAAUGGGCGCAAGCCUGAUGCAGCCAUGCCGCGUGUAUGAAGAAGGCCUUCGGGUUGUAAAGUACUUUCAGUCGGGAGGAAGGUGGUAAGGUUAAUAACCUUGGCAAUUGACGUUACCCGCAGAAGAAGCACCGGCUAACUCCGUGCCAGCAGCCGCGGUAAUACGGAGGGUGCAAGCGUUAAUCGGAAUUACUGGGCGUAAAGCGCACGCAGGCGGUCUGUCAAGUCGGAUGUGAAAUCCCCGGGCUUAACCUGGGAACUGCAUUCGAAACUGGCAGGCUAGAGUCUUGUAGAGGGGGGUAGAAUUCCAGGUGUAGCGGUGAAAUGCGUAGAGAUCUGGAGGAAUACCGGUGGCGAAGGCGGCCCCCUGGACGAAGACUGACGCUCAGGUGCGAAAGCGUGGGGAGCAAACAGG
rnacentral:rRNA from 1 species